rnacentral:misc_RNA from 1 species
UCCGAGUUGACCCCGGCAGUCUCCUGCGAGUCCCCGCCAUUACGCGCUGGCAACACAGGACAAGGGUUGCGCUCGUUGCGGGACUUAACCCAACACCUCACGGCACGAGCUGACGACAGCCAUGCAGCACCUGUGUUCCAGCCAGCCGAACUGAAGACCCUAAUCUCUUAAGGUCAUACUGGACAUGUCAAGGGUUGGUAAGGUUCUGCGCGUUGCUUCGAAUUGAACCACAUGCUCCACCGCUUGUGCGGGCCCCCGUCAAUUCUUUUAAGUUUUAGCCUUGCGACCAUACUCCCCAGGCGAAUCACUUAACGCGUUAGCUACGACACUGAUCCAGCUAAGCCGAACCAACAUCUAGUGAUUAUCGUUUACGGCGUGGACUAC